rnacentral:rRNA from 1 species
CUUAAUUUGACAACGCGGGAAAACUCACCAGGUCAGGACACGGUAAGGAUUGACGGACUGAAGGCUCUUUCUCGAUUCCGUGGAAAGUGGUGCAUGGCCGUUUUUGGUUGGUGGAUCGAUCCGUCUGGUUAAUUCCGUUAACGAACGAGACCUCGGCACUCCGAAUAGCGCGGCGGACGUCGCGGCCUCCGGGCCGUCUUCCGCACGAGCUUCUUAGAGGGACCGUCCCCCGCCGGGGAAGGAGGUGCGAGGCAACGACAGGUCUGUGAUGCCCUUAGAUGUUCUGGGCCGCACGCGCAUUACACUGACGCGUCCAACGGGUGACUCCCGACCCGAAGGGGCCGGGGAAUCCGCAAGGCGCGUCGUGAUGGGGAUUGAACGUUGCAAUUGUUGUUCACGAACGAGGAAUUCCUAGUAGGCGCGGGUCAUCAACCCGCGCCGAUUACGUCCCUGCC